UAAUACGUAGGGUGCAAGCGUUAAUCGGAAUUACUGGGCGUAAAGCGUGCGCAGGCGGUUAUGUAAGACAGAGGUGAAAUCCCCGGGCUCAACCUGGGAACUGCCUUUGUGACUGCAUAGCUAGAGUACGGUAGAGGGGGAUGGAAUUCCGCGUGUAGCAGUGAAAUGCGUAGAUAUGCGGAGGAACACCGAUGGCGAAGGCAAUCCCCUGGACCUGUACUGACGCUCAUGAACGAAAGCGUGGGGAGCGAACAGGAUUAGAUACCCUGGUAGUCCACGCCGUAAACGGUGGGCGCUAGUUGUGGGGACCUUCCACGGUCUCUGCGACGCAGCUAACGCAUUAAGCGCCCCGCCUGGGGAGUACGAUCGCAAGAUUAAAACUCAAAGGAAUUGACGGGGCCCCGCACAAGCAGCGGAGCAUGCGGCUUAAUUCGACGCAACGCGAAGAACCUUACCAAGGCUUGACAUAUAGGGAAAAGCGGCAGAGAUGUCGUGUCCGCAAGGGC
rnacentral:rRNA from 1 species